AUACGGAGGGUGCAAGCGUUACUCGGAAUCACCGGGCGUAAAGCGCGCGCAGGCGGUCUUUUAAGUUGGAUGUGAAAGCCUACGGCUCAACCGUAGAACUGCAUCCAAAACUAUUAGACUAGAGUGUGGGAGAGGAAGAUGGAAUUAGUUGUGUAGGGGUAAAAUCCGUAGAGAUAACUAGGAAUACCAAAAGCGAAGGCAAUCUUCUGGAACACUACUGACGCUGAGGCGCGAAAGCGUGGGGAGCAAACAGGAUUAGAAACCCUAGUAGUCC
rnacentral:rRNA from 1 species